rnacentral:lncRNA from 1 species
AUGUGCCACGAAGGGCCGAACGGCAGCCAUCUGGCCAAGGUGCUGAAGUGGGUGGAGUCGGCAAUCCAGGCUUCCAAGGUGCACCUGCUGUCCACAGACCACGAGGAGGAGGGCGAGCACACGUGGAGAAUCCCUUUCGACCCCAGCCUCAAGGAGGUCACUAUCUCCCUGAGCGGGCCAGGGCCUGAGAUCGAAGUCCGGGAUCCGCUGGGGAGGAUCCUCCAGAAGGACAAGGGCCUCAACGUGCUGCUCAACAUUCCCGACUCAGCCAAGGUGGUAGCCUUUAAGCCCAAGCACCCGGGGCUGUGGUCCAUCAAGGUCUACAGCAGCGGCCGCCACUCGGUGAGGAUCACAGGCAUCAGCAACAUUGACUUCCGAGCCGGCUUCUCCACCCAGUCUUCUCUGGACCUCAACCACACCAUCGAGUGGCCCUUGGAAGGCAUCCCCAUCUCCCUGGUGAUCAACUCCACCGGCUUGCAGGCCCCGGGGCACCUUGACUCCGUGGAGCUCUCGCACCACUCGGGGCGGCCCCUCCUGACGCUGCCCACGCAGCCCCUCUCCAAUGGGUCCACCCACCAGCUGUGGGGCGGGCCGCCCUUCCACGCCCCCAAGGAGCGCUUCUACCUCAAAGUGAAGGGCAAGGACCACGAGGGGAACUCCCUCCUCCGUGUCUCCGGGGUUUCCUACAGUGGGGUGGCUCCAGGUAAGAGCUCCUGAGUCUCAUUUCUUCCUGGAUUUCUUCCCUGAUUAGACUAGAUUAGGAAAUGUUUGCUCAUUAAGGUUCUGUGGAA